CCUACGGGAGGCAGCAGUGGGGAAUAUUGCACAAUGGGGGCAACCCUGAUGCAGCGACGCCGCGUGAGCGAUGAAGUAUUUCGGUAUGUAAAGCUCUAUCAGCAGGGGAGAAAAUGACGGUACCUGACUAAGAAGCCCCGGCUAACUACGUGCCAGCAGCCGCGGUAAUACGUAGGGGGCAAGCGUUAUCCGGAUUUACUGGGUGUAAAGGGAGCGUAGACGGUCCUGCAGGCCAGAGGUGAAAGCACGGGGCUCAACCCCGGGAUUGCAUUUGGAACUGUACGGCUAGAGAGUCGGAGGGGCAGGCGGAAUUCCUAGUGUAGCGGUGAAAUGCGUAGAGAUUAGGCGGAACACCAGUGGCGAAGGCGGCCU
rnacentral:rRNA from 1 species